rnacentral:rRNA from 1 species
UACGAAGGGGGCUAGCGUUGUUCGGAAUUACUUGGGCGUAAAGGCGCAACGUAGGCGGAUAUUUAAGUCAGGGGUGAAAUCCCAGAGCUCAACUCUGGAACUGCCUUUGAUACUGGGUAGUCUUGAGUAUGGAAGAGGUAAGGUGGAAUUGCGAGUGUUAGAGGUGAAAUUCGUAGAUAUUACGCAGGAACACCAAUUGC